CACGUAGGGGGCGAGCGUUGUCCGGAUUUAUUGGGCGUAAAGAGCUCGUAGGUGGCUUAGUAAGUCGGGUGUGAAACCUCCAGGCUCAACCUGGAGACGCCACCCGAUACUGCUAUAGCUUGAGUCCGGUAGGGGAGCGUGGAAUUCCUGGUGUAGCGGUGAAAUGCGCAGAUAUCAGGAGGAACACCAAUAGCGAAGGCAGCUCGCUGGGACGUUACUGACACUGAGGCGCGAAAGCGUGGGGAGCGAACAGG
rnacentral:rRNA from 1 species